rnacentral:rRNA from 1 species
GCUGGCGGCGUGGAUAAGACAUGCAAGUCGGACGGGACUACUUUUGUAGCAAUACGGAGGUAGUUAGUGGCGAACGGGUGCGUAACACGUGGGCAAUCUGCCGAGAAGUGGGGGAUAGCUCGCCGAAAGGCGAAUUAAUACCGCAUGUGGUCAGGAGAGACAUCUCUUCGAAUCCAAAGGUGGCGCAAGCUACCGCUUUUUGAGGAGCCCGCGGCCUAUCAGCUAGUUGGUGAGGUAACGGCUCACCAAGGCUAUGACGGGUAGCUGGUCUGAGAGGACGACCAGUCACACUGGAACUGAGACACGGUCCAGACACCUACGGGUGGCAGCAGUCGAGAAUUUUUCUCAAUGGGGGAAACCCUGAAGGAGCGACGCCGCGUGGAGGAUGAAGGCUUUCGGGUUGUAAACUCCUGUCAUUUGGGGACAAGUUGUCCGUAUUAACUGUGCGGGCAUUGAUAGUACCAGAAGAGGAAGAGACGGCUAACUCUGUGCCAGCAGCCGCGGUAAUACAGAGGUCUCGAGCGUUGUUCGGAUUCAUUGGGCGUAAAGGGUGCGUA